UCUAGAAAUUUUUUGAAAGUGUUUCGAUGUGAAACAAAAACAUUCAUGCUAAAUGUUAUUACAGAUAAGUUUUAUUUACUAUUUAAAAUUUCUGUUUCACAUUUAUAUUAAUACAAUAUAAAUCUGGUCUUGCUCUGAAGUCCGUGAUUAAGUUAUCAAAAUUUGCCAAAAUUUAACCUCAGAAUGGGAUUUCAUAUAUAUAUAAUCUGUAAUGUGUAAAAACUAUGGGAUUUCAUAUAUAUAUAAUCUGUAAUGUGUAAAAACUAUGGGAUUUCAUAUAUAUAUAAUCUGUAAUGUGUAAAAACUAUGGGAUUUCAUAUAUAUAUAAUCUGUAAUGUGUAAAAACUAUGGGAUUUCAUAUAUAUAUAAUCUGUAAUGUGUAAAAACUGUUUACACAUUGUUGUUAUUUCCCUUUAUAGGCAUCAGAAAUAAUUUAUAAUGCUGUGCGCAUUAGUGAUGUGAGAGUGACUGAUGCCUAAGGUAUAAUAUAAUUUUUUUACCCAGGUAAUUUCAUUACCACUUCACCCCCUGUUUUACUGUUUUGUCCUAAUGUUUCCCCAUAAAAAUGGCAUGUAUACCUGUCGAUUCUGGUCAAAACAUCACUGUUAUCCAGAUGAAGAGUAAUAAAAAUUAUUUGAUCAUAUAAAUAAGUUGGAAUUCUCUGCUGUUUUUACAUUAUAUCAGAAGAUUCUCUCUUUAUUAUUGAGUUGGGCUUCUCUACUGUUUUUGCAUUAUAUCAGAAGAUUCUCUAUAUUUUAUAGAG